ncrna:Plutella xylostella (diamondback moth) microRNA pxy-mir-8515 precursor (pxy-mir-8515-1)
AUCUCCCUGUCGUUGCAUUCAUUCCAUUACCGGCCGCGGCGUGCAGGUUCUUAUGCGGCCGGUAAUGGAAUGAAUGCAACGACAGGAAGGG